CUACGGGUUGCAGCAGUGAGGAAUAUUGCACAAUGGGGGGAACCCUGAUGCAGCAACGCCGCGUGGAGGAUGACGCAUUUCGGUAUGUAAACUCCUUUUAUAUGUCAAGAAAAUGACGGUAGCAUAUGAAUAAGCACCGGCUAACUCCGUGCCAGCAGCCGCGGUAAUACGGAGGGUGCAAGCGUUACUCGGAAUCACUGGGCGUAAAGGACGCGUAGGCGGAUUGGAAAGUCAGGUGUGAAAUCCUACAGCUUAACUGUAGAACUGCACUUGAAACUUCUAAUCUAGAGUAUGGGAGGGGGAGAUGGAAUUAGUGGUGUAGGGGUGAAAUCCGUAGAUAUCACUAGGAAUACCUAAAGCGAAGGCGAUCUCCUGGAACAUUACCGACGCUAAGGCGUGAAAGCGUGGGGAGCAAACAGGAUUAGAUACCCGCGUAGUC
rnacentral:rRNA from 1 species